rnacentral:rRNA from 1 species
CGGAUUGUAAACCACUGUUGUAAGGGAAGAACGUUAUUAGUAGGAAAUGGCUAAUAAGUGACGGUACCUUACCAGAAAGGGACGGCUAACUACGUGCCAGCAGCCGCGGUAAUACGUAGGUCCCGAGCGUUAUCCGGAAUUAUUGGGCGUAAAGGGCACGUAGGCGGACAAAUAAGUUUGAUGUCAAAUAUGAUGGCUCAACCAUCAAGAGGCGUUGAAAACUGUUUAUCUAGAAUCUCGGAGAGGUAAGUGGAAUUCCAUGUGUAGCGGUGGAAUGCGUAGAUAUAUGGAGGAACACCAAUGGCGAAGGCAGCUUACUGGACGAAGAUUGACGCUGAGGUGCGAAAGCGUGGGUAGCAAACAGGAUUAGAUACCCUGGUAG